rnacentral:lncRNA from 1 species
UUCACUUUGGUCGCUAGUGAAUGUGGUGUCAGAAAAGGCAUAAAUAAAUGCUUUGCGGCCUUUGCUUGCCCUGGAGUUCGGUAUCUCGGGUGUAGGAGCUGCAUAAGUUACAGAAAGUUUACUCUAGCCUGUGUGUGCAAGUGAUAUUGCUGUCCAGCCCAGGGAAUGUAGUUUCUUUAACUGGUUCUUCUUCGUUUGGCAGGUGAGUACCUGAAGCUUACGGAUAUUUCCUGAACGACACGUGGGAGCACAGAGUGGGUUAAAGGGUGUCCUUGAUGAUUUGGAAAUUUGAUCUACAGAAGCACGAGUGAUUUAAAUUUUCUAGGGGCCGUGUCAAAACUCCAUAGAUGAAUGCUCAUUUGUAACAAGACUAUGAAUAAAUGCUUCGAUGUGCUGUUCUGGUUGACUUCAGCUGAGACUGACAUAUUCUUUUGCUUAACAGGAAGGGACAACUAGCACAUUGGGGAUGUAUGGGCA